CUAGACGGAUUUUUUUCCGUCUAGUUUGCAUUAAACUAGACGGAAAAUUUCCGUCUACAAUAUUCCGUCCAGAAAAAAGCAUCCUAGACGGAAAAUUUCCGUCUAGGAUGUAUGCUAGACGGAAAAAGCAUCCUAGACGGAAAAUUCCGUCUAGAAUACAUUCCAGACGGAAAUUUUCCGUCUAGGAUGUUUUGUCCCACAACGGUGCGACUUUCCCCCCCAAAUUUCAUUUCACCGCCUAAAUUCUCAAAAUCUGUCUUCCCAAAUUUCAUUCCCAAAAUUUCGUUCACAGAUCCUACUCCUCCCUCCAUCGCCUCCCCCUCCUCUUUCUCUCUCCCUCCUCAACCUUACCCCUCACCCUCUACUCCCUCUACUCCCUCUCCCUCCACGGCCUCCACCACCUCUCCUGCCUCCUCUCCUCCUCACCGGGCCCCUUCUCGAACUCCCACAUCCUCUCCUCCGCCCUCAAGUUCUCCCCUCUCCCCAUCGGCCGCGCCCUCCAUUCCCUCGCCUUCAAGUCCUCCACGGCCUCCACCAAAGGCGGGUCUCUCCGCAACAUCCCAUCGACGGUGGGUCCCGCAAGAACUCCAAGCGCGCCUCAGCCUCCGCGGCUAACCCUAACCACCCAAGCGUCCCAUUCCGGAUCUGUACUCGCUUCCUCCCUCAAACCUGAACCCGCGCCCGUCGAGUGGACAGUUUGGGGAGCUUCAGCUCGCUGUUCCAGCUGUUCCAACAGGAGAGGAGACUGAAUUGCUUGUUGGAAUACAAAAUGAGGGUACUUUGUUUUAGUUUGUAUCUUAGCGUGAGAGAUCUCACUGAGUUGUAUGUCUUCAUUUGUAGUUAUUGGUUCUUCAAUUCAAUCUGUUUUUGUGCAAUUUGUCUUCAAUUCAAUCAUUUUUGCACCUCCCAGAUUAUCUCGAAUCUGUUUGAUUUAUGCAGGUGAAUCUAGUUUGAAUGUCCUUGCUAUCAGAGCCAGCCUCCACUUUUCUUUUGAUCACCGGAUGUUGGUUCUAGAUCUCACUGUGUAGGUAAGAAAGCAUUUUGCUCUUUAGUUUUAUUUGCUUUCUGAUUUCUAGUUCUAAAUCAGUUGUGCGUAGUCUGACCUAACUAAAUUUCAAAAUACACAAUUAAAUGCAUAAAGCUUACUUGUUUUGUUAAAGUCCUCUUAUUGAAAGGAAUCUUGUUCUGAUAUAUAAAAUUAUAAAAUCUAUGCUCGGGGCUUAAGGCUUGGCUUAGCUAUCUUUUGUUGGUGCUAAAAAGAGAGUAUGUGAAAGAAUAUGGAGUUCUCUACAUGAACAUAUAGUGGUUCUAGGAGCAAAAUUUCUUCCACCUGAGUAUGAGGAAUGUAUCUUGUUAAAUUAAAAAACUGUCAGUAGAUGGGAGAAAAGUUCUCUUUUCCUUACUUGUUUUUAAUGGCAACCAACCUUCUGGUAAUGCAAGAGUUCUCUAAAUGAACUGGAUUCACUGGAUAUUUUUUAUGAACGGGCAAGGCCAAGUUGUUGGUAGCUCUAUGAUUUGACGAGCGCCAAUGUUUCACUCUGAAACUUUGUCAUGAUAGCAAAUAUUACCUCCCCAAUAGUUCUGUUCAACACUUUGUUAUUUAACAUGGUAUGUUAUGUCAUGGAUUUA